CCCUCGCUUACUAGCCUUUGUGCCUGUUUAUUCUCCAAGACAUGGGAGUCCUCAAGGUGCAAAUUCUACUAUGCAUGCUACUGCUCACGUCGCUUCUUUUUGUUCCCGGAUCGGAAGCCAAGAUCUGCAAAGAAAAGAGCGAGACCUAUAACGAGUAUCCAUGCUAUUACGAUGCAUGUUUUGAGGCCUGUCAGAAGGAGGGAUUUACCCAGGGGGGAUGCACCGUGGUCAGCUAUAGACCACCUGUAGGGAUGUGUUUCUGUCAAAGAGAAUGUUGAACAAAAGCACGUAGCACCUGUCGUAAAUAUGUGUGGUGUAUCAAAUAAUAUGGCUCAGUAGUACACUGAGUUGACAAUGGUCAAUACCUGAAGUUAAGGCUUUAAUUUACCAAAUAUUUCUUGA